rnacentral:lncRNA from 1 species
AACACUGGAUUACUGAUCUGUACCAAUACCUUCAAAGUUUUUCAACCCAGAAACAUGGGUAGACAUUUUCAGUCUUUUUUUUUUUUUUUGCUUGUUCUCUUGGCAGCACUCAAUUCUGACAACCACUUCCUUAUUUUUGAAAUACUCUCUUUCUCUUGGCUUUUUUUUCGUUUUGUUUCACAUUUUGUUUUUUGAGACAAAAUCUAGCUCUUGUCCCCCAGGCUGGAGUGCAAUGAUAUGAUCUCGGCUCACUGCAACCUCUGCCUCUUGGGUUCAAGCGAUUCUGUUGCCUUAGCCUCCCGAGUAGCUGGGAUUACAGGCGCCUGCCACCACGCCCAGCUAAUUUUUGUAUUUUUAGUACAGACGGGGUUUCACCAUGUUGGCCAGGCUGCUCUCGAACUCCUGACCUCAGGUGAUCCGCCUGCCUCGGCCUCCCAAACUGCUGGGAUUACAGGCGUGAGCCACCGCGCCCAGCCUCUCUUGGCUUUUUUGUUUGAGUCGGAGUGUCGCUCUGUCACCCAGGCUGGAGGGCAGUGGCACGAUCUCAGUUCACAGCAACCUCUGCCUCCCGGGUUCAAGUGAUUCUCCUGCCUCAGCCUCCUGAGUUGCUGGGAUUACAGGUACACACCACCACGCCCGGUUAACUUUUGUAUUUUUAGUAGAUCUGGGGUUUCACCAUGUUGGCCA